rnacentral:rRNA from 1 species
ACCUGCGGAAGGAAUCAUUUG